rnacentral:tRNA from 1 species
GAUGUGGCUCAGUGGUAGAGUUCUUGCCUGGCAUGUCUGAGGGCCUGAGUUCCAUCCCCAGCAAAACA